rnacentral:rRNA from 1 species
UACGUAGGGCGCAAGCGUUAUCCGGAAUUAUUGGGCGUAAAGAGCUCGUAGGCGGUUUGUCGCGUCUGCCGUGAAAGUCCGGGGCUCAACUCCGGAUCUGCGGUGGGUACGGGCAGACUAGAGUGAUGUAGGGGAGACUGGAAUUCCUGGUGUAGCGGUGAAAUGCGCAGACAUCAGGAGGAACACCGAUGGCGAAGGCAGAUCUCUGGGCAUUAACUGACGCUGAGGAGCGAAAGCAUGGGGAGCGAACAGG